GAUGAAGAACGUAGCGAAUUGCGAUAAGUAAUGUGAAUUGCAGAAUUCAGUGAAUCAUCGAAUCUUUGAACGCAUCUUGCGCUCUUUGGUAUUCCGAAGAGCAUGCCUGUUUGAGUGUCAUGAAACUCUCACCUCCAAUCUUUUUUAACUAGAAGGUUGGGGCGUGGACGUGAGUGCUGCUGGUGCCAUGGUUGCAUCGGCUCACUUGAAAUUCAUUAGCUGAAUCCUUUAAAGUAGGUUCUACUCGACGUGAUAAGAUCUCCGUCGAGGACAGUGCUUCGGCAUUGGCCAACGAUAAAGUUGAUACGCUUCUAAUUAGCGCAGACUUCGAGUGCUGGCAAUUUUGACAACUUGGCCUCAAAUCAGGUAGGACUACCCACUGAACUUAAGCAUAUCAAUAAGCGGAGGA
rnacentral:misc_RNA from 1 species